GAAGAUUGGAAUUUCGUGAGAUUCUGAUUGGAAAACAAAAUGGGAUUAAAUCUGGAUGUCUUUUAUAAUCUUUUGACUAAUAUGGCACCUAUAAAUAUAUAUUGAAAAGAUUAAAGUUUUAGAAUUCUAACGAUCGAUGAUGUUUCGGAGAUUUUUCUUGGAUUUCUUAGAUUGGAUUUUUAAAAGGAAGAUGCAGAGAUGAUUAUUGAAAUAUUUGACAGUAUAAAGAAUUUGUUGAAUAUCGCAAAGAGACGAUGAUAGAGAAUCUUAAUGUAGGAAAAAUGACUGCUUAAACUAGAAAAGAAAAAAGAAGAAGUGGACAACUUAAUUAUUACUCAAUGCAACGUGGCAAAAAGAUUUCCAAGUAUGAAGGAUUGAAAUAGUAUUUUUGCUUACAUUUGUAAAUUCAUUUUAUGAAAGUUCUGCAAUGAAAUUGGCAAUGAGUCUGGGAACUAUGAUUACGUAAUAGUUAUGAAUGAAUUUCAUUGUAAUAUUGGUUACUUUGGGAAGUUAUUUUGGGAAAUAAUAUUAAAGCUUCAAGAACCCAAAUUACUUUUGAAACUAUACUCUACUUUGAAGAUUAUAAUAUUUAAAUUGGUUUAUAGACUAUAAUUGAAUUUUCAUUUUUUGAAAAUUUAUUUUGAAACUUGUUUAUUUGAUUUGCUUCAAAAAAUUGUUUGUAAUAUUAUAAAAUUGAAAUUAAAAUUGAAAACGACUGUUGCAUAGCUUGUUAAGACAUACACCCAUGUAAUUGGAAUAAUGCUUAUAUAAUGCAUUAUUUCGAAAACAUAAGAAAAAUUUUAGCAUAAUGCAUAAAUUUCAAAUUGCGUGAUAUAGAAGGCUUGAAAAUGACCAGGAAAAUAUAUUCCAGUGAAUUUUAUUAAACGCUGAAUGCUUUAUUCCAUUUCAAUCGCAAUGCACCUUUUGCGCAGUAAUUGAAUUGAAACGCUGACGUCGAAUGACUUCGAGAUGUUGCGCCUUCUUGCAUCUUUUCAUGCAUUUUAUAUUUUCUUUUUGUUAGAAGGAAUAAGAUAAAAGUUAUAAAUCUAAUAGAACUUUGAUAAUUUGAGAAUUUCAUUAUCUAAAUUGAAAUAUUAAAGCAAAAUGCAAUUUCUUUGCAAUUUUUUAUUUAUUCAAAUUAAAAUAUUAUAACAAUGUUUAAAAUCUAAAAUUCAUUGAAUUCCUUUGAACAUUGAGGUUUGAGAUAUAUGCAAUAAUAAUAUUUUGUAUUCUUUGUUUUCUAUAUUUUUAUAUAUAUUUUUUUAUUUGUAGAUGAUAUUUUUUUAUAUUGGUGAAA